CCUACGGGUGGCAGCAGUGAGGAAUAUUGGGCAAUGGAGGCAACUCUGACCCAGCCAUGCCGCGUGAGUGAAGAAGGUUUUCGGAUUGUAAAGCUCUUUCGGAUGUGACGAUGAUGACGGUAGCCUCUAAAGAAGCCCCGGCUAACUUCGUGCCAGCAGCCGCGGUAAUACGAAGGGGGCAAGCGUUGUUCGGAAUUACUGGGCGUAAAGGGAGUGUAGGCGGUUUAGUAAGAUAGUGGUGAAAUCCCAGAGCUUAACUUUGGAAUUGCCAUUAUAACUAUUAGACUAGAAUUACAGAGAGGAGAGUGGAAUACCCAGUGUAGAGGUGAAAUUCGUAGAUAUUGGGUAGAACUCCAGUGGCGAAGGCAGCUCACUGGACUGCAACUGACACUGAGGCUCGAAAGUGUGGGUAUCAAACAGGAUUAGAUACCCCUGUAGUC
rnacentral:rRNA from 1 species